rnacentral:rRNA from 1 species
AUUGAACGCUGGCGGAAUGCUUUACACGUGCAAGUCGAACGGCAGCACGGACCUCGGUCUGGUGGCGAGUGGCGAACGGGUGAGUAAUGUAUCGGAACGUGCCCAGUCGUGGGGGAUAACGUAGUGAAAAUUACGCUAAUACCGCAUACGAUCUAUGGAUGAAAGCGGGGGAUCGCAAGACCUCGCGCGAUUGGAGCGGCCGAUAUCAGAUUAGGUAGUUGGUGGGGUAAAGGCCCACCAAGCAAACGAUCUGUAGCUGGUCUGAGAGGACGAACAGCCACACUGGAACUGAGACACGGUCCAGACUCCUACGGGAGGCAGCAGUGGGGAAUUUUGGACAAUGGGCGAAAGCCUGAUCCAGCCAUUCCGCGUGCAGGAUGAAGGCCCUCGGGUUGUAAACUGCUUUUGUACAGAACGAAAAGGUUUCUACUAAUACUAGGAGCUCAUGACGGUACUGUAAGAAUAAGCACCGGCUAACUACGUGCCAGCCGCCGCCGUAA